CCAGCCUGUGGCUGCAAAGACUCCAAAGCUGUCCCUUCCCCUCAGGACAGCCAGGGAAAACAUCCCCAUCAUGGAUUUCUGACAGGAAAAACCUCACAGCUCCAGGCCAGCACUACAACAGGCUCUAAGAAAUAAACAACAGCAAAGACCAUCUCAGGGUGCACACCACAAGCUGGGCACCACACUCCUCACUGGAACUGGGCUGUUUCCACAUCUCUGUGACAGCUGGGAGCGUCCUCAUUUCCUCACUCUUCUGUUCAGGAGAAAGAGAGAACAGAGCCCUGAAACACUCAGUGUGCAAACCCAGCAAUCCAGGGAAACCCACCUCAGUCAGGGGAGAAAUGUAAUGCCCAAUUUUGGAAAAAAAACUAAUAGCAGAACUGCAAACAUUUCCAGGCAUGGAGCCUCCCAACUCUGGAAAUGCAAUUCCCAUGGCUUCUUCUCAUGGAGACCCCAAACUUGCCCCUGACUGGGGCUCAGGGAGAAAAUCCCACCUCUUCCACCAGCCUGGCACAGAGCAAAUUCCAUGGACAGCCCAGGAAGGUGUCCCUGACCAUGGCAGGGGGUGGGAACAGGAUGAUCUGUAAGGUUCCUUCCAACCCAGACCAUUCCAGGAAUUUAAGUCACAGAUCUGAGCCACUUCUCAGCUCACAGCUCCUUCCUAAACCUCAUCCUCUGGGCUGCCUUUCCCAGACCUUACUGGGAAGGGAAGCAGGGGCUCCCCUCCCCAAACACACCCACUGCCAAUUGCUGUGCUCUGCCAAAACCAGCGGGUGACACCAGAGGUUGAUCCUUUGCCUUGGCUGUUUUCCAUAAUCCAGCACUUCAGGGACUCCAGAGUCAGGCAGGAUCAUUCCCAGGUUCCAGGCACUGGCACAAAGCACCUGCUGGAAGGGGCAAUUCCAGAGGCUCCUCUCCCCUUAGCUGGGAAUUCAGUGCUGCAAAGGGCCCUGCAGUGAUCCUGGAUUUUACCCUUCCUUAUGGAUUAAUCCCCAACACUCACUACCAAGUGCUGCUGGAGCAUCUCUCCAGGAAAAAAAUUGCCUAAUCCAGAGGGGUCCCUGCCCAGUUUCUCAGGAUGGAUGGGAAGCUGCUGCUGACAGGCUGGAUCUCAUGAGAACUUCAGUAAUUUGCUGAAAGUUUCUAAAACAGGGACCUGUUUCCAAGUCUAAGGAAGCUCAAAUCCAAUGGCUCGCCAGGCUUCCUAAUAAAGUGCUGCAAAAAUGUGUCUGUGUGUAGGAAUCUUCUUUUAACCCAAUUUCAGGAAAGAUUUGCCUGAGAUUUUAGUUAAAAUUUAAACCAGCCUGUGAUGUAUCAGGCAGAAAAAACUAUUUAAUAGCACCUUUUUCCCAGCUGCACAGUCCAGACCCAACGCUUCAGCUCGUGUGUGAAAUGGAUGGGAAGUGCAAAAACAAGUUCAUUCCCACCUUCAAAAAAUUCCCAAGGACAUGAUGAUCCUCCAAAUGAAGUCCUGGCUUGGAACAACACUAUCCUGCAGUUUUCCAUGGGAAUCAAAACUCAUCCCCCCAGUGUCUCAAGGAAUCCCUUCCACCUAGGAAAAGGCAUGACAGAAGGAGAGAGUUUGUCUUAAAUACCUCCUAAGGCUGCAGAGACAUGAAAAUCUGCUGAGAAUGACAGGUGAGAAGCUGACAAGAGGUACAAACAGCAAAAAUGAAAGGACAACUAGGCUUCACAGGUAGGAAUGUGGAAGUUACAUGAAAAACAGAUGAAUUCCAAAGGUAAUUGAAGGAGAGUGCUGGGGAUUUUCUGGGAUGUAGAGACCAGCAGCAUUUGUGUAACUGCACCAGAAGCACAACAAAAGACUGGGAUUAUCUGGGCAAUGGCAUCAGGAAUGCCAGAUCUGGGUAUAGAUGCAGCAAAACUAGGACCAAGAUAAAAAGCAAGAGAAGGAAUAGCCAAAAGGGAAGCAUGCCAGCAGGAGAAAAAGGGACAGGAAAUGGGAAAGGGGAUAAUAAGGUAUGAAAAUCAUGCUGCCUUGGAGUGCUUGCUGGGAAGAAUUCUGUUCCAACAUCUCAGCCUAAAUCAGGACCAUCAAACCAAACCUGUUGUUCUGGCCAUGCCACACAGCCCAAACCAGCUCCCAUGGUUUGGAGACACGGGAGGAAAGGAAUACUUUGCCUGGCAAGCAAGGGAGAACCCCAUCAGACAGGUCAAACACCUGAAUAUUGUGACAUGAAUUGAAUAUUGUGGUGCUACCCACGGCCUCGUAAGAGCCUGCUGAGUGUUUUGUGACUCCUCACACCCCCAGUGAGCUAAAGACUAUUGUGGCCAUUGCUCCAGUAUCACUGAAUCCAACACAAUGCAGAAAGCAGCUCAAAUAUGCUGCUUCUAUCCAGUGCCCCAAUUACCAGGUGAGCAGAGGGCUCUAUUAACCAAAAUGAGACAAGAGAAAAACACUGAGGACAGCAACACACACUCCUGCAGCAGAACUCAAAAUGCCCUUCAGAACAACAGAUGUUGGGGUUUGGUGUUUUCAAACCAGCGCAUCUCAGCUUAGAUUUGCAAGCUUAUACCCAAAUAAAAAACCAAACAAAACCA